rnacentral:rRNA from 1 species
AGAAUCAACGCUGGCGGCGUGCCUAACACAUGCAAGUCGAACGAGAAAGUGGAGCAAUCCAUGAGUAAAGUGGCGCACGGGUGAGUAACACGUGACUAACCUACCCUUGAGUGGGGGAUAACCUAGGGAAACCUGGGCUAAUACCGCAUAAUACCUUCGGGUCAAAGGAGCAAUUCGCUUAAGGAGGGGGUCGCGGCCGAUUAGUUAGUUGGCGGGGUAAUGGCCUACCAAGGCGACGACGGGUAGCC